GGCACCAUCUACCACAAUGUGCAUUCGUUCGGGCCUAGCUCACGUCCAGAACAUCUGCAGUUGUACUUCUAUGAUGACGACCCAACCAUAAGUCAUCGUAAGGCGGCCACCAAGCAAUUAGACCAGGAUGCCGUGAAGAAGUUAGUACACAUACUCAAAGAAAACCCGUACUCCCAGCAAUUUAGGAGUUUGGGUGCACACAAGGACAACCUCGACUAUUAUAGGAUAGACCUAAACACCGAUAAGAGGCUUGACCAAAGAAGAUAUAAUAGACCGUUGUCAUCUGAGGUCGCUGCA
rnacentral:rRNA from 1 species